rnacentral:sRNA from 2 species
AACCCCACGAAGACGAACAGGAUGGAGGCGGGGGACCCAACCGGUCCACCGUGCAGCAGCGGACCAGGAGCGCACGCUCCUAGGGGUGAAGCCGACGUCGACCGCGACGUGGCCGGGCAGCCUCUCCGCCCGAACCCGACAGCUGACCUCGCAGGCGCCGACGAGAGGACAC